rnacentral:miRNA from 1 species
UCUCUGACUCUGCCUCCCACAG